GGACUACUAGGGUUUCUAAUCCUGUUUGAUCCCCACGCUUUCGCGCCUCAGUGUCAGUAUUGGUCCAGGUAGCCGUCUUCACCACUGGCGUUCCUUCCGAUCUCUACGCAUUUCACCGCUACACCGGAAAUUCCGCUACCCUCUACCAUACUCUAGUUAGGCAGUUUAAGAUGCACUUCCCAGGUUAAGCCCAGGGCUUUCACAUCUUACUUGCCUUACCACCUACGCGCCCUUUACGCCCAGUAAAUCUGAUUAACGCUUGCACCCUCUGUAUUACCGCGGCUGCUGGCAC
rnacentral:rRNA from 1 species